ensembl:lncRNA
CAUAAUAGAGACACUGCCAUCAUCCUCUUUGAAUACUUCAUCAAAUCUUUUCCAAACAUUCCUUUUCUGGCCAUCCCUUCUUUAUUUUCGUAGAUUUCCUCUUAUUGAAUUAAACUCUGACAUUGUCCUUUUUUCUGCCCUUUCCCAAAAGUGUUUGGUGAUUGAUGUCUAGUCUAUUUGGCACGCGCCAAAUUAGGCCCUAAAGCUUAGGUUUACGUACAAAUGCUAAAUAGCCUAUAGAUAUAAAUGACACAAGAAUGAUACAUUUAUGGAAUUUUUUCAUGUAUUGUUUUCUCUUUAUUCAACCUGACCGCCUCCCACAUAAUAUUUCAUGACCCUAAACCCGCCGCCCUGUGGAUAUAACCGUGGGACUGCUGCUUAUGAGUCAAUGCAUCACUAAUGUGUGUUACAUCUCAAUGAUUUGACCCUAUGUCUGUACAGAUUAUUGUGGCCAAGCCCAACAUCCUUCUCCCUCCCUCUGUGAGUGCCCUGAAGAAGGCAUCACGCCUGAUGGAGUUGGUCCCUACUGUCCGGCCCUGCAGGGAGCAGCUGGACAAGAAGACACAGUGGACCAACACCAACGAGGAGAGCCUGAGGAGGAUUAAAAAAAAACUGGCCUCCAUAGAGCUCGACCUGGAGGAAGGCCUGAACAAGGUCAACGACGGUCAGGACAUCAACCAAGAGAGGCAGAAGAAUGAGGGAUGCUUCAGAGCCUGGAUUGAGAAGUGGAUGGGGAGGAGGAAGGAGGAAAGACUGAGGGAUGAAGAUGUGAAUAGGGAAGACAAAGGGAGGAUGGGCGAGGAAGUGAGGGCACUGAUCCAAGUGAUGAAGAGAAACUGCAGUGAAAGUGAUCUUGAGGCAGUAAACCUGGACAGUUGGCUGAAUGACUUGGAAAGGUUGAAAGUGGCCUUCAAGAAAUGCACUGGAGAGAUGGCCGAAAUGAGCCCAGGGAAAGUCUCUGGUCCUGUGUCUGGCCUCUCUCCUCUUGUGACCUCAGCACCCCG